rnacentral:rRNA from 1 species
UGGGGAAUAUUGGACAAUGGGCGCAAGCCUGAUCCAGCCAUGCCGCGUGAGUGAUGACGGCCUUAGGGUUGUAAAGCUCUUUCGGCGGGGACGAUAAUGACGGUACCCGCAGAAGAAGCCCCGGCUAACUUCGUGCCAGCAGCCGCGGUAAUACGAAGGGGGCUAGCGUUGUUCGGAAUCACUGGGCGUAAAGGGCGCGUAGGCGGCUUUGUAAGUCGGGGGUGAAAGCCUGUGGCUCAACCACAGAAUUGCCUUCGAUACUGCAAGGCUUGAGACCGGAAGAGGUUAGUGGAACUGCGAGUGUAGAGGUGAAAUUCGUAGAUAUUCGCAAGAACACCAGUGGCGAAGGCGGCUGACUGGUCCGGAUCUGACGCUGAGGCGCGAAAGCGUGGGGAGCAAACAGG